rnacentral:rRNA from 1 species
UUAAGCGACUAAGCGUACACGGUGGAUGCCCUGGCAGUCAGAGGCGAUGAAGGACGUGCUAAUCUGCGAAAAGCGUCGGUAAGGUGAUAUGAACCGUUAUAGCCGGCGAUGUCCGAAUGGGGAAACCCAGUGCAAUUCGUUGCACUAUCGUUAACUGAAUACAUAGGUUAACGAGGCGAACCGGGGGAACUGAAACAUCUAAGUACCCCGAGGAAAAGAAAUCAACCGAGAUUCCCCCAGUAGCGGCGAGCGAACGGGGAGCAGCCCAGAGUCUGAAUCAGCUUGUGUGUUAGUGGAACGGUCUGGAAAGUCCGACGGUACAGGGUGAUAGUCCCGUACACCAAAAUGCACAGGUUGUGAACUCGAAGAGUAGGGCGGGACACGUGGUAUCCUGUCUGAAUAUGGGGGGACCAUCCUCCAAGGCUAAAUACUCCUGACUGACCGAUAGUGAACCAGUACCGUGAGGGAAAGGCGAAAAGAACCCCGGCGAGGGGAGUGAAAAAGAACCUGAAACCGUGUACGUACAAGCAGUGGGAGCACCUUCGGGUGUGACUGCGUACCUUUUGUAUAAUGGGUCAGCGACUUAUAUUCUGUAGCAAGGUUAACCGUAUAGGGGAGCCGCAGGGAAACCGAGUCUUAACUGGGCGUUAAGUUGCAGGGUAUAGACCCGAAACCCGGUGAUCUAGCCAUGGGCAGGUUGAAGGUUGGGUAACACUAACUGGAGGACCGAACCGACUAAUGUUGAAAAAUUAGCGGAUGACUUGUGGCUGGGGGUGAAAGGCCAAUCAAACCGGGAGAUAGCUGGUUCUCCCCGAAAGCUAUUUAGGUAGCGCCUCGUGAAUUCAUCUUCGGGGGUAGAGCACUGUUUCGGCUAGGGGGUCAUCCCGACUUACCAACCCGAUGCAAACUACGAAUACCGAAGAAUGUUAUCACGGGAGACACACGGCGGGUGCUAACGUCCGUCGUGAAGAGGGAAACAACCCAGACCGCCAGCUAAGGUCCCAAAGUCAUGGUUAAGUGGGAAACGAUGUGGGAAGGCACAGACAGCCAGGAUGUUGGCUUAGAAGCAGCCAUCAUUUAAAGAAAGCGUAAUAGCUCACUGGUCGAGUCGGCCUGCGCGGAAGAUGUAACGGGGCUAAACCAUGCACCGAAGCUGCGGCAGCGACACUAUGUGUUGUUGGGUAGGGGAGCGUUCUGUAAGCCUGCGAAGGUGUGCUGUGAGGCAUGCUGGAGGUAUCAGAAGUGCGAAUGCUGACAUAAGUAACGAUAAAGCGGGUGAAAAGCCCGCUCGCCGGAAGACCAAGGGUUCCUGUCCAACGUUAAUCGGGGCAGGGUGAGUCGACCCCUAAGGCGAGGCCGAAAGGCGUAGUCGAUGGGAAACAGGUUAAUAUUCCUGUACUUGGUGUUACUGCGAAGGGGGGACGGAGAAGGCUAUGUUAGCCGGGCGACGGUUGUCCCGGUUUAAGCAUGUAGGCUGAUUGUCCAGGCAAAUCCGGAUAAUCAAGGCUGAGGUGUGAUGACGAGGCACUACGGUGCUGAAGUAACAAAUGCCCUGCUUCCAGGAAAAGCCUCUAAGCAUCAGGUAACAUCAAAUCGUACCCCAAACCGACACAGGUGGUCAGGUAGAGAAUACCAAGGCGCUUGAGAGAACUCGGGUGAAGGAACUAGGCAAAAUGGUGCCGUAACUUCGGGAGAAGGCACGCUGGUGUGUAGGUGAAGUCCCUGCGGAUGGAGCUGAGACCAGUCGAAGAUACCAGCUGGCUGCAACUGUUUAUUAAAAACACAGCACUGUGCAAACACGAAAGUGGACGUAUACGGUGUGACGCCUGCCCGGUGCCGGAAGGUUAAUUGAUGGGGUUAUCCGUAAGGAGAAGCUCUUGAUCGAAGCCCCGGUAAACGGCGGCCGUAACUAUAACGGUCCUAAGGUAGCGAAAUUCCUUGUCGGGUAAGUUCCGACCUGCACGAAUGGCGUAAUGAUGGCCAGGCUGUCUCCACCCGAGACUCAGUGAAAUUGAACUCGCUGUGAAGAUGCAGUGUACCCGCGGCAAGACGGAAAGACCCCGUGAACCUUUACUAUAGCUUGACACUGAACAUUGAGCCUUGAUGUGUAGGAUAGGUGGGAGGCUUUGAAGCGUGGACGCCAGUCUGCGUGGAGCCAACCUUGAAAUACCACCCUUUAAUGUUUGAUGUUCUAACGUUGGCCCCUGACCGGGGUUGCGGACAGUGUCUGGUGGGUAGUUUGACUGGGGCGGUCUCCUCCCAAAGCGUAACGGAGGAGCACGAAGGUUAGCUAAUCCUGGUCGGACAUCAGGAGGUUAGUGCAAUGGCAUAAGCUAGCUUGACUGCGAGCGUGACGGCGCGAGCAGGUGCGAAAGCAGGUCAUAGUGAUCCGGUGGUUCUGAAUGGAAGGGCCAUCGCUCAACGGAUAAAAGGUACUCCGGGGAUAACAGGCUGAUACCGCCCAAGAGUUCAUAUCGACGGCGGUGUUUGGCACCUCGAUGUCGGCUCAUCACAUCCUGGGGCUGAAGUAGGUCCCAAGGGUAUGGCUGUUCGCCAUUUAAAGUGGUACGCGAGCUGGGUUUAGAACGUCGUGAGACAGUUCGGUCCCUAUCUGCCGUGGGCGCUGGAGAAUUGAGGGGGGCUGCUCCUAGUACGAGAGGACCGGAGUGGACGCAUCACUGGUGUUCGGGUUGUCAUGCCAAUGGCACUGCCCGGUAGCUAAAUGCGGAAGAGAUAAGUGCUGAAAGCAUCUAAGCACGAAACUUGCCCCGAGAUGAGUUCUCCCUGAGACUUUAAGUCUCCUGAAGGAACGUU